rnacentral:rRNA from 1 species
GACGAACGCUGGCGGCGUGCUUAACACAUGCAAGUCGAACGAUGAACCGGAGCUUGCUCCGGGGAUUAGUGGCGAACGGUGAGUAACACGUGGGCAACCUGCCCCAGACACCGGGAUAACCCUUCCGAAAGGAUGGCUAAUACCGGAUACGACCACUUCGGGCAUCCGACGGUGGUGGAAAGGAUUCUGGUCUGGGAUGGGCCCGCGGCCUAUCAGCUUGUUGGUGGGGUAAUGGCCUACCAAGGCGACGACGGGUAGCCGGCCUGAGAGGGCGACCGGCCACACUGGGACUGAGACACGGCCCAGACUCCUACGGGAGGCAGCAGUGGGGAAUAUUGCGCAAUGGGCGAAAGCCUGACGCAGCGACGCCGCGUGAGGGACGAAGGUCUUCGGAUUGUAAACCUCUUUCAGCAGGGACGAAGCGAAAGUGACUGUACCUGCAGAGAAGCACCGGCUAACUACGUGCCAGCAGCCGCGGUAAU